CAUAUCACUAAGCGGAGAACAAGAAAAUAACAAUGAUUCCUAGAGUAACGGCGAGUGAAAUAGGAAAAGCCCAUAGCCGAAUUCUGUUGUUCAAAGUAGCAACUAGAAGUUGUGGCAUUGGAAACUGCCUGUUGUAACUGUUUGACAUGUCUACGCAACUCCUCUUGAUUGUGGUUUGUCCAUAGCAGGUGCUAGACCUGUUGCCGUUGACAUCAGUGUCAUCAGUGAAGGUAGUUUUUAGAGUCGGGAUGUUUGGGAUUGCAUCCCGAAGCAGGUGGUAAACUCCAUCUAAGGCUAAAUAUGAUCACGAGUCCGAUAGCAAACAAGUACCAUGAGGGACAGUUGAAAAGAACUUUGAAGAGAGAGUUCAAAGUACGUGAAACCGUUCAGAGGUAAACAGGUAGAGAGUCGAAUGGUGAUUUCGAUAAUCAGAUUGUUGAAAUUGUAUUAGGCAUGUACAGUACGUUAAAGGCUGCUUGUCUUUGUUUUCACUUUCAAUAAUCGUACUUGUCGAUUUCAAAUCGCUGCAAUCACUUUUGAUUGACCAGUAACGUGUAUCUCUUGAUAGCAUGAUGUCAUUUAUGGCAUUCAAGUUGUUAAAUGUACAUUGUUUAUCUGUGUUCAAAUCUUUGUGAUAUUUGAAAGUUCAUGCAAUCUGGCUUGAUCGAUCGAAUAGUCGGCAUAUCAGGUGGAUUCCAUGUGGAUCAACUACUUGCUAUUCUGUUCAUCGGUUUGAGUAUAUAAACAGAUUAAGAACUAGAGCGGCGUUCGAUUGCGAAUCAUCUACCUGACCCGUCUUGAAACACGGACCAAGGAGUCUAACUUGUGCGCAAGCCAUUGGUAUAACAAUUGAAAACCAUUGACGCAGUGAAAGCAUCAGGUGAGAUCUGGUGUUUAAUUUGUUAAAAAUUACGCCAGCGCAUCAUCGUCACGUCACACAUUGGCUACGGCUAUAGUGGCGCAGAUAGAGCGCACAGGUUGGGACCCGAAAGAUGGUGAACUAUGCGAGGCGAGGUCGAAGCCAGAGGAAACUCUGGUGGAGGACUGUAGCGGUUCUAACGUGCAAAUUGAUCGUCGCAGCUUCGUAUAGGGGCGAAAGACUAAUCGAACCAUCUAGUAGCUGGUUCCCUCCGAAGUUUCCCUCAGGAUAGCUGGCACUUUUUGACAGUUUUGUCCGGUAAAGCGAAUGACUAGAGGUCUUGGGGACAUAACGACCUCAACCUAUUCUCAAACUUUGAAUGGGCAAGAAGAAGGACUCGCUUAAUUUGGAGUCUCUUCAUUUUGUUGAAUGUUCGAGUGCCAAGUGGGCCAUUUUUGGUAAGCAGAACUGGCGCUGUGGGAUGAACCAAACGUUGAGCUAAGGCGCCAAAUGCUAACGCUCAUCCGAUCCCAUUAAAGGUGUUGGUUGAUAGAGACAGCAGGACGGUGGCCAUGGAAGUCGGAAUCCGCUAAGGAGUGUGUAACAACUCACCUGCCGAAUCAACCAGUCCUGAAAAUGGAUGGCGCUAAAGCGUUGAUAGCCUAUGCUUGACCGGUAUUGCACACAUUGUAAAUGCGAUGCCGAGUAGGAGGGUCGCUGUGGUAUGCAUUGAAGCUUUGAGCGUAAGCUCGAGUCGAGCUUCCACAGGCGCAGAUCUUGGUGGUAGUAGCAAAUAUUCAAAUGAGAACUUUGAAGGCCGAAGUGGAGAAGGGUUCCGUGUGAACAGUAUUUGAACACGGGUCAGUCGGUCCUAAGCGAUAGGCAAAUGCCGUUCAGAAUGCAGGUAUUAUUGAUUGAUUUUCUAAAUUGAUUGCCUGAUUUUGGUCGAAAGGGAAUCGGGUUAAUAUUCCCGAACCUGGACGCGGAGAUUGAGUUUCAACCUCGUGUUGAACUCUGUGCGGCAACGCAAACGCUCUCGGAUGUGUCAACGGUAGUCCUGGGAAGAGUUCUCUCUUCUUUGUAAGGGGCUGACUCCCUGGAAUCGGCUUAGCCGGAGAUAGGGAUAUUGCAGAUACCCGUAAAGCACCACACUUCUUGUGGUGUCCGGUGCACAAUCGUUGACUCUUGAAAAUCCGAGCUAGACUUGAAACAUUUUCGCGCCAGGCCGUACCCAUAUCCGCAGCAGGUCUCCAAGGUUAACAGCCUCUGGUGUUAGACUGAUGUAGUCAAGGGAAGUCGGCAAAUUGGAUCCGUAACCUUGGGAAAAGGAUUGGCUCUAUGGGUUGGGUCGUUACGGGCUGUGCUAGAAAGCGAUGCGUGCUAUCGAUGCUUUGGGUUUGAUUGGCAACGAUUGAGCCUAGUGUUGAUUGGCUGCUCGUGGCCUGGUACGGCUUCACCAGCUUCUUCUUGUAAGUUGUUGGCUACGUGCGACGCAAAGCAACCAACAUAGAACUGGUACGGAC
rnacentral:rRNA from 1 species